CCAAUCUAGAGUAUNGGAGAGGAAAGUGGAAUUCCUAGUGUAGCGGUGAAAUGCGUAGAUAUUAGGAAGAACACCNGUGGCGAAGGCGACUUUCUGGACGAAAACUGACGCUGAGGCGCGAAAGCCAGGGGAGCGAACGGGAUUAGAUACCCCGGUAGUCCUGGCCGUAAACGAUGGGUACUAGGUGUAGGAGGUAUCGACCCCUUCUGUGCCGGAGUUAACGCAAUAAGUACCCCGCCUGGGGAGUACGACUGCAAGGUUGAAACUCAAAGGAAUUGACGGGGGCCCGCACAAGCGGUGGAGUAUGUGGUUUAAUUCGACGCAACGCGAAGAACCUUACCAGGUCUUGACAUUGAUGGACAGAACUAGAGAUAGUUCCUCUUCUUCGGAAGCCAGAAAACAGGUGGUGCACGGUUGUCGUCAGCUCGUGUCGUGAGAUGUUGGGUUAGGUCCCGCAACGAGCGCAACCCCUAUCUUAUGUUGCCAGCACGUAAAGGUGGGAACUCAUGAGAGACUGCCGCAGACAAUGCGGAGGAAGGCGGGGAUGACGUCAAAUCAUCAUGCCCCUUAUGACCUGGGCUACACACGUACUACAAUGGGAGUUAAUAGACGGAAGCGAGAUCGCGAGAUGGAGCAAACCCGAGAAACACUCUCUCAGUUCGGAUCGUAGGCUGCAACUCGCCUACGUGAAGUCGGAAUCGCUAGUAAUCGCAGGUCAGCAUACUGCGGUGAAUACGUUCCCGGGCCUUGUACACACCGCCCGUCACACCACGAAAGUCGGAAGUGCCCAAAGCCGGUGGGGUAACCUUCGGGAGCCANCC
rnacentral:rRNA from 1 species